UUGAACGCUGGCGGCAGGCCUAACACCUGCCAGUCGAGCGGAUGAAGGGAGCUUGCUCCUGGAUUCAGCGGCGGACGGGUGAGUAAUGCCUAGGAAUCUGCCUGGUAGUGGGGGAUAACGUCCGGAAACGGGCGCUAAUACCGCAUACGUCCUGAGGGAGAAAGUGGGGGAUCUUCGGACCUCACGCUAUCAGAUGAGCCUAGGUCGGAUUAGCUAGUUGGUGGGGUAAAGGCCUACCAAGGCGACGAUCCGUAACUGGUCUGAGAGGAUGAUCAGUCACACUGGAACUGAGACACGGUCCAGACUCCUACGGGAGGCAGCAGUGGGGAAUAUUGGACAAUGGGCGAAAGCCUGAUCCAGCCAUGCCGCGUGUGUGAAGAAGGUCUUCGGAUUGUAAAGCACUUUAAGUUGGGAGGAAGGGCAGUAAGUUAAUACCUUGCUGUUUGGACGUUACCAACAGAAUAAGCACCGGCGAACUGCGU
rnacentral:rRNA from 1 species